UGGGCCUUAUCUGGUUAAAUUUGCUUCAUUUCCCACCGACUAAAAUCACACACUGCAAAAGCAGAGCGUUAAGCUCAUCAGAAAUUCUGAAUUUCACUCAUCAAGAACAAAUUCAAAUUCCAAAAACCCCCAUUUAAAUGGCUUUUUCUAUAUGUUCUUCCACACCCAUUUGCUGCUUUAAUCACUCCAGCAAUCCCAAACUCGAUAUCUUCUUCUCCAAAUCAGUUAUUCAUGCAUUUUUCUUUGUUCUGCUUUUGUUUCUGUUUUAAAAUGUGUUUAUGGCCCUUUCUUUUCGCAUUUUGUAGGGGUUCUUGUUGGAAAUUCAGUGCCUCAGAAGGCUUUUACGAUAAAUGAGGCGGUUCAAAGAACAAACCCCAUUAGGCAUUUGUCUUUUGAAGCCAAGGUAUGUUGUCAUACAUGCUACACUAAAUCGGUAAAAGGAAGUCAAGUAGGGGCAUGGGAGCAUGGCAAAGGUUCUCAGUGUGCACCAAAGGUAUGGUCAGCCUAUGAUGAGUAUUAUGGUAGUGUGUCUGAUUUUAUUUUUUCAUGUUUCUUCUUAUUUUGGGUUGAUUAUGCAUUCCUUUUUCUAUUGCCAGUGAUGAGUUGAAUUAUAUAUUCAUGAUUCCGUUAAUUUUUUUUUAAAAUCUUCGAUUCUGAACUUCUUUAACCAUCAUCACUCUCUGUUCUUGACGUCCAUAUGUGAUCAAUUGUGGGUCAAUUAUGCAUAUCUUUUUUCAUUGGCAGUGAUGAGUUUAAUGUUAUGCAAGAUUCUGUUCAUAAUUUUUUUAAUGCUUGCUUUCUAAACAUCUUUAACCAUCAUCACUCUCUGUUCUUGACAUCCAUAUGUGAUCAAUUUUCUUUUUGCUUCCUCUGUGAUCAUUUAUGUUGCAACUCUGUCUUCUGAACAUGGAUUUCUUUUACAAAUUGUUCAAUUUCAAUUGUUGCCUACGGUAUACUUGUGUUGAAAAAAAUGACCGCCUUUUGUUUUUAGGGUUUGACUGCAUUUCUAAAAUCCCCUAUUUUAUGGGAUUCUUGUUGGACUUAAUUAAUGGUUGUUGCCCUAUUUGUUAUCAUACUCCCUUUACUAUACAUUUGGACCUUCCUCCUUGCAUUUCAUGCCCGACUGUCUUUUCGUUUUGGUAUACUUCCAGUCCCAUUUGGUAUGUUCAUAAAAUUUAAUUUGUUUGGUCUACUUGCUUUCCAUUAUAUUUGCCACUUUAGCCACUAUUUUCAGUACUUUACAAUUCAAUCAUUUUUAAUCUAAUACUUUACAAUUCAAUCAUUUUUACUCUAACUUUUAAAACCACACUUCAUAUAUAUCUUCUAUGGUGAAAGAUACAGUUAUUUCAACCCUUUUGUUUUGUCUUCUUUGCCACUGUCUAUAAUUAUUUACAAUACGCCUGAGAAAGAACAUUUGUUUUCUUCCAGUUUUGAAUGCUCUAUUGCUCUUCGUUUGAUGAAUCUUUGUUAUGUUCUUCAAAUUUUCCCUACUUAUUUGUUUUUUACAAAACAUAUCUGGUUGUUGUACUUUGUUUUCUCCCUAUGGCUUCUUUUUGUUGUUGUACUCUGUUUUCUCCCUGUGGCUUUUUUUCCUCAUGCAUUGUCACAACAAAUAAGUGAUGUUUUCAAUGGUCUAUGUUUCUUUGUGCAUUGUGUUGUCGCACUGGCGACGGUUUUGUGAACAUGUUGAUCUCUAUUUUAUGUCUCUUUGGUUGCUUCUGUUUUACAUAUGAUGUUAUCGAGUCCACCACACUAAAUUCUACCGCAAAUGCAUUCUUCUUGAACGUCUUUGAGGUAAUUUAUUAACUCUAAGGCAACUUCCUUUCCCAUACAUUAUGUACUAACACAUUCAUUUUUUGUACGGUUCCAUGGAUUUGUAAGUUUUCAUUUCUGGUUAAGGUUGUCGUACUUAAAGCAUUCGUAAACGAGGUACAAGGGCUUUAAACCUCAUUCAUUUAUGAAGUUGAUGUAUAUGUGGUCUACUUAAUUAUUUUUGUAAUGAAUUCUUUUCUUUCGUUAUUAUUGAUUUAUGUUUCUUGUAUCAAACGCUUCGCAUUAUAGCUUAUAAAUCGUAUUUUUCUUACUA